GAUGAACGCUGGCGGCGUGCUUAACACAUGCAAGUCGAACGAUGAAGCCGGAGCUUGCUCUGGUGAAUUAGUGGCGAACGGGUGAGUAACACGUGAGUAACCUGCCCUUGACUCUGGGAUAACUGCGGGAAACUGUAGCUAAUACCGGAUACGACCCUCGGAGGCAUCUCCUGGGGGUGGAAAGAAUUUCGGUCAAGGAUGGACUCGCGGCCUAUCAGCUAGUUGGUGAGGUAAAGGCUCACCAAGGCGACGACGGGUAGCCGGCCUGAGAGGGUGACCGGCCACACUGGGACUGAGACCCGGCCCAGCCUCCUACGGGAGGCAGCAGUGGGGAAUAUUGCACAAUGGGCGCAAGCCUGAUGCAGCAACGCCGCGUGAGGGAUGACGGCCUUCGGGUUGUAAACCUCUUUUAGCAGGGAAGAAGCGAAAGUGACGGUACCUGCAGAAAAAGCACCGGCUAACUACGUGCCAGCAGCCGCCGUAA
rnacentral:rRNA from 1 species